rnacentral:tRNA from 1 species
GGAGAGAUGGCUGAGUGGACUAAAGCGUCGGAUUGCUAAUCCGUUGUACGAGUUAUUCGUACCGAGGGUUCGAAUCCCUCUUUCUCCGCUCUCUCCG